CGAACGCUGGCGGCGUGCCUAAUACAUGCAAGUAGAACGCUGAAGGAGGAGCUUGCUUCUCUGGAUGAGUUGCGAACGGGUGAGUAACGCGUAGGUAACCUGCCUGGUAGCGGGGGAUAACUAUUGGAAACGAUAGCUAAUACCGCAUAAUAGCAGUUGUUGCAUGACAACUGUUUGAAAGGUGCAAUUGCACCACUACCAGAUGGACCUGCGUUGUAUUAGCUAGUUGGUGGGGUAACGGCUCACCAAGGCGACGAUACAUAGCCGACCUGAGAGGGUGAUCGGCCACACUGGGACUGAGACACGGCCCAGACUCCUACGGGAGGCAGCAGUAGGGAAUCUUCGGCAAUGGACGGAAGUCUGACCGAGCAACGCCGCGUGAGUGAAGAAGGUUUUCGGAUCGUAAAGCUCUGUUGUAAGAGAAGAACGAGUGUGAGAGUGGAAAGUUCACACUGUGACGGUAUCUUACCAGAAAGGGACGGCUAACUACGUG
rnacentral:rRNA from 1 species